rnacentral:rRNA from 1 species
CGCCUACGGGGCGCAGCAGUAGGGAAUCUUCCACAAUGGGCGCAAGCCUGAUGGAGCAACACCGCGUGAGUGAAGAAGGGUUUCGGCUCGUAAAGCUCUCUUGUUGGAGGAGAACGUGCGUGAGAGUAACUGUUCACGCAGUGACGGUAUCCAACCAGGAAGUCACGGCUAACUACGUGCCAGCAGCCGCGGGAAUACGUAGGUGGCAAGCGAUAUCCGGAUUUUUUUGGCGUAAAGCGAGCGC